rnacentral:rRNA from 1 species
GACGAACGCUGGCGGCGUGCUUAACACAUGCAAGUCGAACGGAAAGGCCCUGCUUUUGUGGGGUGCUCGAGUGGCGAACGGGUGAGUAACACGUGAGUAACCUGCCCUUGACUUUGGGAUAACUUCAGGAAACUGGGGCUAAUACCGGAUAGGAGCUCCUGCUGCAUGGUGGGGGUUGGAAAGUUUCGGCGGUUGGGGAUGGACUCGCGGCUUAUCAGCUUGUUGGUGGGGUAGUGGCUUACCAAGGCUUUGACGGGUAGCCCGCCUGAGAGGGUGACCGGCCACAUUGGAACUGAGAUACGGCCCAGACUCCUACGGGAGGCAGCAGUGGGGAAUAUUGCACAAUGGGCGGAAGCCUGAUGCAGCAACGCCGCGUGCGGGAUGACGGCCUUCGGGUUGUAAACCGCUUUCGCCUGUGACGAAGCGUGAGUGACGGUAAUGGGUAAAGAAGCACCGGCUAACUACGUG